CCCUUAGAUGUUCUGGGCCGCACGCGCGCUACAAUGGCAGACUCAGCGAGUUACCUCUGUCGAAAGGCACAGGGAAUCUUUACAGUAUCUGCCGUGAUGGGGAUAGACCCUUGUAAUUUUUGGUCUUCAACGAGGAAUUCCUAGUAAACGCAAGUCAUUAACUUGCAUUGAUUACGUCCCUGCCCUUUGUACACACCGCCCGUCGCACCUACCGAUUGAAUGGUCCGGCGAAGUCCUCGGACCCAGUUGAACCUCGAGUUGAACAGGGAAAGUUGACUAAAUCUUACCAUUUAGAGGAAGGUGAAGUCGUAACA
rnacentral:rRNA from 1 species